GUGCCCACUUCAGCAGCACAAAUACUAAAAUUGCAAUGAUACAGAGAAGAUUAGUAUGGCUCCUGAGCAAGAUGACAUGCAAAUUCAUGAAGCGUUCCAUAUUUUU
ensembl:snRNA U6 U6 spliceosomal RNA